rnacentral:rRNA from 1 species
AGAGUUUGAUCCUGGCUCAGGAUGAACGCUAGCUACAGGCUUAACACAUGCAAGUCGAGGGGCAGCAUGUAUCUGGCUUGCCAGAUACGAUGGCGACCGGCGCACGGGUGAGUAACGCGUAUCCGACCUGCCGCACACUCCGGGAUAGCCUUGCGAAAGCAAGUUUAAUACCGGAUGCCGUAAGGGCGCCGCAUGGUGUUUUUACGAAAGGGAUUUACCGGUGUGCGAUGGGGAUGCGUCCCAUUAGCUUGUUGGCGGGGUAACGGCCCACCAAGGCGACGAUGGGUAGGGGUUCUGAGAGGAAGGUCCCCCACAUUGGAACUGAGACACGGUCCAAACUCCUACGGGAGGCAGCAGUGAGGAAUAUUGGUCAAUGGGCGGAAGCCUGAACCAGCCAAGUAGCGUGCAGGAAGACGGCCCUAUGGGUUGUAAACUGCUUUUAAGCGGGGAUAAAGUCAGGGACGUGUCCCUGUUUGCAGGUACCGCUUGAAUAAGGACCGGCUAAUUCCGUGCCAGCAGCCGCGGUAAUACGGAAGGUCCGGGCGUUAUCCGGAUUUAUUGGGUUUAAAGGGAGCGUAGGCGGGACUCCAAGUCAGCUGUGAAAUGCCAUGGCUCAACCAUGGAGCUGCAGUUGAAACUGGUGUUCUUGAGUUGUCGCAGGGGCGGUGGAACUCGUGGUGUAGCGGUGAAAUGCUUAGAUAUCACGAAGAACUCCGAUCGCGAAGGCAGCCGCCCGGUGGCCGACUGACGCUGAGGCUCGAAGGUGCGGGUAUCAAACAGGAUUAGAUACCCUGGUAGUCCGCACGGUAAACGUUGGAUACUCGCGGUUGGUUAUUAGUUAGUCAGCCGCCAAGCGAAAGUGUUAAGUAUC